UAACCCGCACCACUUAUCGUGGUGGGAGACAGUGUCAGGCGGGCAGUUUGACUGGGGCGGUCGCCUCCUAAAAGGGAACGGAGGCGCUCAAAGGGUCCCUCAGAAUGGUUGGAAAUCAUUCAUAGAGGGUAAAGGCAUAAGGGAGCUUGACUGCGAGACCUACAAGUCGAGCAGGGUCGAAAGACGGACUUAGUGAUCCGGUGGUUCCGCAUGGAAGGGCCAUCGCUCAACGGAUAAAAGCUACCCCGGGGAUAACAGGCUUAUCUCCCCC
rnacentral:rRNA from 1 species